rnacentral:rRNA from 1 species
AAACCGGGCGAUCUAUCCAUGGGCAGGUUGAAGGUUGGGUAACACUAACUGGAGGACCGAACCGACUACCGUUGAAAAGUUAGCGGAUGACCUGUGGAUCGGAGUGAAAGGCUAAUCAAGCUCGGAGAUAGCUGGUUCUCCUCGAAAGCUAUUUAGGUAGCGCCUCAUGUAUCACUGUAGGGGGUAGAGCACUGUUUCGGCUAGGGGGUCAUCCCGACUUACCAAACCGAUGCAAACUCCGAAUACCUACAAGUGCCGAGCAUGGGAGACACACGGCGGGUGCUAACGUCCGUCGUGAAAAGGGAAACAACCCAGACCGUCAGCUAAGGUCCCAAAGUUAUGGUUAAGUGGGAAACGAUGUGGGAAGGCUUAGACAGCUAGGAGGUUGG